ACCACUGAGCCACCUUCCCAGCCCCUGUAACUAUUCUUUAAAUUGAAAAGUAUUCUAGGGCUGGGAAGGUGGCUCAGUGGU
rfam:Dipodomys ordii contig_28621, whole genome shotgun sequence.